GACGAACGCUGGCGGCGUGCUUAACACAUGCAAGUCGAACGGAAAGGCCCUGCUUUUGUGGGGUGCUCGAGUGGCGAACGGGUGAGUAACACGUGAGUAACCUGCCCUUGACUUUGGGAUAACUUCAGGAAACUGGGGCUAAUACCGGCUAGGAGCUCCUGCUGCAUGGUGGGGGUUGGAAAGUUUCGGCGGUUGGGGAUGGACUCGCGGCUUAUCAGCUUGUUGGUGGGGUAGUGGCUUACCAAGGCUUUGACGGGUAGCCGGCCUGAGAGGGUGACCGGCCACCUUGGGACUGAGAUACGGCCCAGACUCCUACGGGGGGCAGCAGUGGGGAAUACUGCACAAUGGGCGGAAGCCUGAUGCAGCAACGCCGCGUGCGGGAUGACGGCCUUCGGGUUGUAAACCGCGUUCGCCUGUGACGAAGCGUGAGUGACGGUAAUGGGUAAAGAAGCACCGGCUAACUACGUG
rnacentral:rRNA from 1 species